GAGUGAAAUAGAACCUGAAACCGUGUGCUUACAAGUAGUCAGAGCCCGUUAAUGGGUGAUGGCGUGCCUUUUGUAGAAUGAACCGGCGAGUUACGAUUUGAUGCAAGGUUAAGCAGUAAAUGUGGAGCCGUAGCGAAAGCGAGUCUGAAUAGGGCGUUUAGUAUUUGGUCGUAGACCCGAAACCAGGUGAUCUACCCUUGGUCAGGUUGAAGUUCAGGUAACACUGAAUGGAGGACCGAACCGACUUACGUUGAAAAGUGAGCGGAUGAACUGAGGGUAGCGGAGAAAUUCCAAUCGAACCUGGAGAUAGCUGGUUCUCUCCGAAAUAGCUUUAGGGCUAGCCUCAAGUGAUGAUUAUUGGAGGUAGAGCACUGUUUGGACGAGGGGCCCCUCUCGGGUUACCGAAUUCAGACAAACUCCGAAUGCCAAUUAAUUUAACUUGGGAGUCAGAACAUGGGUGAUAAGGUCCGUGUUCGAAAGGGAAACAGCCCAGACCACCAGCUAAGGUCCCAAAAUAUAUGUUAAGUGGAAAAGGAUGUGGCGUUGCCCAGACAACUAGGAUGUUGGCUUAGAAGCAGCCAUCAUUUAAAGAGUGCGUAAUAGCUCACUAGUCGAGUGACACUGCGCCGAAAAUGUACCGGGGCUAAACAUAUUACCGAAGCUGUGGAUUGUCCUUUGGACAAUGGUAGGAGAGCGUUCUAAGGGCGUUGAAGCAUGAUCGUAAGGACAUGUGGAGCGCUUAGAAGUGAGAAUGCCGGUGUGAGUAGCGAAAGACGGGUGAGAAUCCCGUCCACCGAUUGACUAAGGUUUCCAGAGGAAGGCUCGUCCGCUCUGGGUUAGUCGGGUCCUAAGCUGAGGCCGACAGGCGUAGGCGAUGGAUAACAGGUUGAUAUUCCUGUACCACCUAUAAUCGUUUUAAUCGAUGGGGGGACGCAGUAGGAUAGGCGAAGCGUGCGAUUGGAUUGCACGUCUAAGCAGUAAGGCUGAGUAUUAGGCAAAUCCGGUACUCGUUAAGGCUGAGCUGUGAUGGGGAGAAGACAUUGAGUCUUCGAGUCGUUGAUUUCACACUGCCGAGAAAAGCCUCUAGAUAGAAAAUAGGUGCCCGUACCGCAAACCGACACAGGUAGUCAAGAUGAGAAUUCUAAGGUGAGCGAGCGAACUCUCGUUAAGGAACUCGGCAAAAUGACCCCGUAACUUCGGGAGAAGGGGUGCUCUUUAGGGUUAACGCCCAGAAGAGCCGCAGUGAAUAGGCCCAAGCGACUGUUUAUCAAAAACACAGGUCUCUGCUAAACCGUAAGGUGAUGUAUAGGGGCUGACGCCUGCCCGGUGCUGGAAGGUUAAGAGGAGUGGUUAGCUUCUGCGAAGCUACGAAUCGAAGCCCCAGUAAACGGCGGCCGUAACUAUAACGGUCCUAAGGUAGCGAAAUUCCUUGUCGGGUAAGUUCCGACCCGCACGAAAGGCGUAACGAUUUGGGCACUGUCUCAACGAGAGACUCGGUGAAAUCAUAGUACCUGUGAAGAUGCAGGUUACCCGCGACAGG
rnacentral:rRNA from 1 species